CAGCUGCUAGAGCUGUUUAAUGCUGGGACAGUGGGACAAGGCGCUUUAGUGCGGAGCGCGGCGGCCGGAGCAGCACCUCCCGCAAGAAGCAGCAGCCACCGCAAACACAACUCUGAGCCAAGAGCACAAAGAGCCCCGACCAUUUCGCGGUGACUGAUUUAUGGCGUUUUACAACCCCAUAAAAAGCUGUAACAACCAGCCAAAAGCCUUCGACACCGCUGGCACAUUUAGUCUAAUAAAUAAAACAUAAACAGUUAA